rnacentral:rRNA from 1 species
AGUGAACGCUGGCGGUAUGCCUAACACAUGCAAGUCGAACGGCAGCACAGUAAGAGCUUGCUCUUACGGGUGGCGAGUGGCGGACGGGUGAGGAAUACAUCGGAAUCUACUUUUUCGUGGGGGAUAACGUAGGGAAACUUACGCUAAUACCGCAUACGACCUACGGGUGAAAGCAGGAGAUCUUCGGACCUUUCGCGAUUGAAUGAGCCGAUGUCGGAUUAGCUAGUUGGCGGGGUAAAGGCGCACCAAGGCGACGAUCCGUAGCUGGUCUGAGAGGAUGAUCAGCCACACUGGAACUGAGACACGGUCCAGACUCCUACGGGAGGCAGCAGUGGGGAAUAUUGGACAAUGGGCGAAAGCCUGAUCCAGCCAUACCGCGUGGGUGAAGAAGGCCUUCGGGUUGUAAAGCCCUUUUGUUGGGAAAGAAAAGCAGCAGGUUAAUACCUCGCUGUUCUGACGGUACCCAAAGAAUAAGCACCGGCUAACUUCGUG